rnacentral:rRNA from 1 species
CAGCAACGCCGCGUGAGUGAUGAAGGCCUUCGGGUCGUAAAGCUCUGUCAGAGGGAAGAAGUGUGGGGAGGCUAAUACCCUUUUCACUUGACGGUACCCUCAAAGGAGGCACCGGCUAACUCCGUGCCAGCAGCCGCGGUAAUACGGAGGGUGCGAGCGUUGUUCGGAAUUAUUGGGCGUAAAGCGCGUGUAGGCGGUCUUUUAAGUCUGAUGUGAAAGCCCUGGGCUCAACCUGGGAAGUGCAUUGGAAACUGGGAGACUUGAAUACGGGAGAGGGUAGUGGAAUUCCUGGUGUAGGAGUGAAAUCCGUAGAUAUCAGGAGGAACACCGGUGGCGAAGGCGGCUGCCUGGACCGAUAUUGACGCUGAGACGCGAAAGCGUGGGGAGCAAACAGGAUUAGAUACCCUGGUAGUCCACGCCGUAAACGAUGAGUACUAGGUGUCGCGGGUAUUGACCCCUGCGGUGCCGCAGCUAACGCAUUAAGUACUCCGCCUGGGAAGUACGGUCGCAAGACUA